CGCCCUCUCUAAAAAUAUAAUAAGGCUUUAUUUCUUUCUGUGUACCCAUCUGAACUGUAUAAUACGAAUACCACCUACAACUGUUCUUUUUGCUUUUUCCCCUUUUAAUUAAUAUUCUAAAACUCUGGAAUACUAAAAGGCUUCAGCAUUAUCACAAGCACAGAUAUGGAUUUUAAAACUCGCAGAAGUGGAAACAUUUUUGAGAAAAAAUGGAUUCAGUGAAAGCACAACAACAAUAUUGAAAUCCAAAGAAAUCGAUGGGGAGUCUGAUUCUAUUGAAUGAUGCUGAUGUGGCCAGCUAUGGUUUGAAAAUUGGGCCAGUUACUAAGCUGAGAGGAUUGAUUCAGAGUUUACGUCAACAAAAAGAAAGUAUACCCAAUUCUCCUACUGAUACUGACCAUAGACAGCAAGCUGGGAAUGUCAUCGUCAAUGAAGGAAGUGGGUCAACUUCAGAACAUCCAUCUAAUGAAAAGGGCUUUAAUGUAAUUUCCAUUUUGAAGGAAAACAAAACAGGGAAAGAAAUUGUUGACAAAUUCAUGGACAGAAAUGAAGACUUCUUAACACACAAUGAAAGAAUUGCUGUUGUUAAAAUUUUGUGUCAACACAUAGUCAGAAAAGAUCCCUUACAGUAUUAUCCUUCCACAGAAACAAAGAAGCUGUAUGCUGCUUGGAUUAUGAAAGCAUUCCCGUGUCUUGGCACAAAGAACCUUGAUUCUCAAGGAGAAUUUAAGAUUAUUCUUGACGUUUAUUUUCACCCUCAAACUGGGGGAUUCAUUGAAAAUCAUUUAAAAGAAAUUUGGAGAAGAGACGGAAUCCGCAAAAGACGACCGAAUAUCAAUAACGAAACUAAAAAUUCUGAAACGAAUCCCGGCGUUCCUAGUAAGAGAAAGAAGGCCAAAAAGGGACAAUUUUAAACAGACAAACAAGCAGCAGUUGAAGACGAUAACGUUUUGAAGUCAAUGAUUUCAUGGAUGAAAACUCACGUUUCUUCAAUAGAAAACACUGGAAAAGUGUAUGAAUACAUGGAAAAAACUUAUUCCUAUCGACAAAAACAGAUUGGAUUCACGUUCCAGAGUGCGACGGACUCCUAGAUGGGUUUGCCGUGACUGUAAGGGAGACAUAGUAUAUUUUUAGCUUCACAUUUUAUAUACACCCAAAGUAUAUUUAAGUUUAGCACUAUUGAAAUCUGUCAUUGAAAAAAGGCCUGAAAAACUGCCGUGAAGAAUCCCAUUAUUUCUCGUCUGUUUCCUUCUAAAGCCGCUCUGAGUCUGAACUUUUUUUACAAAAAAACGAGUUAAGGUAUAAAUUUACGAGACCAAACCACGUCGCAGCUUUUUUCCUAAUUUGUUUUACAUAUAUAACGUGCUUUGUACAUUGUGUGCCUGCUUUGUGCGUCAUAUUGUUCUUCCGUUUGGAGAAGAAGUUUCAGUUCCUGCUACUUGGUUAAUAAAUUGCACGUGCCCUACGCAACGAUAGAAUUAUUA